UACGUAGGGUGCAAGCGUUGUCCGGAAUUAUUGGGCGUAAAGAGCUCGUAGGCGGUCUGUCGCGUCUGCUGUGAAAACUCAGGGCUUAACCCUGAGCUUGCAGUGGGUACGGGCAGACUAGAGUGUGGUAGGGGAGACUGGAAUUCCUGGUGUAGCGGUGGAAUGCGCAGAUAUCAGGAGGAACACCGAUGGCGAAGGCAGAUCUCUGGGCCGUAACUGACGCUGAGGAGCGAAAGCAUGGGGAGCGAACAGG
rnacentral:rRNA from 1 species